GAAACAGUAGCCAUUUUGUAGCUCACACAAGUUGUUGCUAAUCUGCUGACUCAUGUGUUGGUGUGAAGUAGUGGCUGAACCAGCAACUUCUCUACCUUCCCCGGAUCCUCCUUCAGCUUUUCCAAUUCCUAAGGCAGCCAGCUGCCAUGUUAUAAGCUGUCAUAUGGAGAGGCCCAUAUGACAGAAACUGAGAAUGGCCUCCAGUCAACAGCCAGCAAGGAACUGAGGCCCUCAGUCUAACAGCUCACAAGGAACUGAGUCCUGACAGCAACCACAUGCGUGAAUUUGGAAUUGGCUCUUCCUCCAGUAGAGCCUUGAGAUGACUGUGGCCACAGCUGACACCUUGAUUGAGGCUCAUGAGAGACUCUGAGCCAGAGGCACCCAGAGUGAUACCUUCUUGCUGUUACCAACCCAGGGUACUGCGCAAUUCCUUACGGCAUCUCUCCAUCUUGCCCACGUCUUUGAAAAUAGUUCGUUGAUGAUACGCUCUUGAAGUUACUUAAUUUGAGUUUGCUGUUUCCUGCUGGAACCCUGACUGAUUCAACAACUUAUAGGAUUCUAUGAUUCUACGGCUGGGACAAUAGGCAAAGAGAAGUCCAGUAAUUUGCCUAAGGUCACACAAGGGAGGAAAUAAUACUUAUGGAAUGUUUCACAGUUAUUCUUUUAUUUGUUAAUUUAAAGUGAACUUUUAUUGUUUUCAUACAACACAAAUAAAAUGAAGAGAGAAAAUA